rnacentral:rRNA from 1 species
GAACGUGCUUUAUGUAUUAGUAUCAUUAUAAUUUUUAAUAUAUGUAUAUACAACCUCAACUCAUAUGGGAUUACCCCCUGAAUUUAAGCAUAUUAAUUAGGGGAGGAAAAGAAACUAACCAGGAUUUUCUUAGUAGCGGCGAGCGAAAAGAAAUCAGUUCAGCACUAAGUCACUUUGUCUAUAUGGCAAAUGUGAGAUGCAGUGUAUGGAGCGUCAAUAUUCUAGUAUGAGAAAUUAACGAUUUAAGUCCUUCUUAAAUGAGGCCAUUUACCCAUAGAGGGUGCCAGGCCCGUAUAA